rnacentral:tRNA from 1 species
GGGGAUAUGGUUUAGUGGUAUAAUGCUUCUUUAGCACUUGAGUUUCGUACUCUGGUAAUAUAGAAGAGGUCCGGCGUUCGAUUCGCCGUUUCUCCAA